rnacentral:rRNA from 1 species
UACAGAGGGGGCAAGCGUUGUUCGGAAUUACUGGGCGUAAAGGGCGCGUAGGCGGCCGCCUAAGUCAGACGUGAAAUCCCUCGGCUCAACCGGGGAACUGCGUCUGAUACUGGGUGGCUUGAAUCCGGGAGAGGGAUGCGGAAUUCCAGGUGUAGCGGUGAAAUGCGUAGAUAUCUGGAGGAACACCGGUGGCGAAGGCGGCAUCCUGGACCGGUAUUAACGCUGAGGCGCGAAAGCCAGGGGAGCAAACGGG